rnacentral:rRNA from 1 species
AUUGAACGCUGGCGGCAGGCCUAACACAUGCAAGUCGAGCGGGGUUUUCGGACCUAGCGGCGGACGGGUGAGUAAUGCGUAGGAAGCUGCCCGAUAGAGGGGGAUACCAGUUGGAAACGACUGUUAAUACCGCAUAAUGUCUACGGACCAAAGUGUGGGACCUUCGGGCCACAUGCUAUCGGAUGCGCCUACGUGGGAUUAGCUAGUUGGUGAGGUAAUGGCUCACCAAGGCGACGAUCUCUAGCUGGUUUGAGAGGAUGAUCAGCCACACUGGAACUGAGACACGGUCCAGACUCUUACGGGAGGCAGCAGUGGGGAAUAUUGGACAAUGGGCGCAAGCCUGAUCCAGCCAUGCCGCGUGUGUGAAGAAGGCAUUCGGGUUGUAAAGCACUUUCAGCGAGGAGGAAGGGGUGUGUGUUAAUAGUACACACCUUUGACGUUACUCGCAGAAGAAGCACCGGCUAACUCUGUGCCAGCAGCCGCGGUAAGAC